UUCCACUCUGAGGUACUUACCUAAGAGAGACGGCAACCUAGACCCACACAAAGACCUAACUUGAACGUCCACACCAGCUUCCUCCAUGACGGCCCCGGACUGCACCAGCCCCGGAUGCCUUUGGACAAACAACCCAGCUGUGGUCCAUUGUACAGCGGGACAUGACUCAGCAACAAAAAGGAAUGACCUGGCGCGGGAGGCGACACCUAAAGCAGGCAGACCCGAAGGAAAACUGUGAAAUUUGGGAUUCCAUUUCUUCUUUAAAAUACAAAUAGUGGCAAAGGCAAAUCUUGGACACUCAUGCAAUGUGCUUGUCCCCAGUUUUUGGACACUACUGCUACGUACCGUCCCCAGAUGUUGACACCAGUACAAAGAUAACAUCUGUACAUAAUGGCCUGCCUCGGGGGACCCUGCCCCUCUGCCUGAAUGUUGAACCAAAGUGCCUUUGUUCAGGCAAACAUCCGGACCCUGUUCCACCUGCCGAUGGCUGAAAGAAAGAAGAAACUAACACAUCCCCUCCGGGAGGCUGGUCAUUCCGGUGAUAUUUGCAAAACUUUCGGCCUUUUUACUUUACUUCCUCAUCUCCUCCCCCUCUCUGUGCUAUAAAAGAAACUGGCAUCC